UACGUAGGUGGCAAGCGUUUGUCCGGAUUUACUGGGCGUAAAGGGCGCGUAGGCGGCGUGUCAAGUCAGGCGUGAAAGCCCCGGGCUCAACCUGGGAACCGCGCUUGAGACUGGCAUGCUCGAGUUCGGGAGAGGAUGGUGGAAUUCCCAGUGUAGAGGUGAAAUGCGCAGAUAUCGGGAGGAACACCUAUUGCGAAGGCAGCUCGCUGGGACGUUACUGACGCUGAGACGCGAAAGCGUGGGGAGCAAACAGG
rnacentral:rRNA from 1 species